rnacentral:rRNA from 1 species
GAUGAACGCUGACAGAAUGCUUAACACAUGCAAGUCAACUUGAACUUCGGUUUGGGUGGCGGACGGGUGAGUAACGCGUACAGAACUUGCCUCACAGCUAGGGACAACAUUUGGAAACGAAUGCUAAUACCUGAUAUUAUGAUUAUAUGGCAUCGUAUAAUUAUGAAAGCUAUCUGCGCUGUGAGAGAGCUUUGCGUCCCAUUAGCUAGUUGGAGAGGUAACAGCUCACCAAGGCGAUGAUGGGUAGCCGGCCUGAGAGGGUGAUCGGCCACAAGGGGACUGAGACACGGCCCUUACUCCUACGGGAGGCAGCAGUGGGGAAUAUUGGACAAUGGACCGAGAGUCUGAUCCAGCAAUUCUGUGUGCACGAUGAAGUUUUUCGGAAUGUAAAGUGCUUUCAGUUGGGAAGAAAAAAAUGACGGUACCAACAGAAGAAGUGACGGCUAAAUACGUG